AUGGGAUUUUUGCUCCUUGUAAUUUUCGCUGUAGCAGCUUUGGAAGGUGUCCGGUCCCAGUCACUGGUGGAGUCCGGAGGGGAUGUGAAAAAGCCCGGAGACUCUCUCCGCCUCUCCUGCAAAGCCUCCGGGUUCACCUUCAGCAGCCACUGGAUGAGCUGGAUCAGACAGGCCCCUGGGAAGGGAUUGGAGUGGAUCGGGGAAAUACACGCAACUUCAACUACCAUCAACUAUGCACAGUCCUUCAAGGGACGCUUCACCAUCUCCAGGGACAACCCCAACAACCUGCUGUAUCUGCAAUUGACCGGCCUGAAGCCCGAGGACACCGCCCGCUAUUACUGUG